AACGAACGCUGGCGGCAUGCCUAACACAUGCAAGUCGAACGAGGGCUUCGGCCCUAGUGGCGCACGGGUGAGUAACGCGUGGGAACCUGCCCUGUGGUACGGAAUAACUCCGGGAAACUGGAGCUAAUACCGUAUGCGGCCUUCGGGACAAAGUUUUAUCGCCAUGGGAUGGGCCCGCGUAGGAUUAGCUUGUUGGUGGGGUAACGGCCUACCAAGGCAACGAUCCUUAGCUGGUCUGAGAGGAUGAUCAGCCACACUGGGACUGAGACACGGCCCAGACUCCUACGGGAGGCAGCAGUGGGGAAUAUUGGACAAUGGGCGCAAGCCUGAUCCAGCAAUGCCGCGUGAGUGAUGAAGGCCUUCGGGUUGUAAAGCUCUUUCGCACGCGACGAUGAUGACGGUAGCGUGAGAAGAAGCCCCGGCUAACUUCGUGCCAGCAGCCGCCGUAAUAC
rnacentral:rRNA from 1 species